AAAUCCAGCAAAGAAUUCGAUUGAAAGACUGCCUGAUUUAUGAAAUUGUGAAAAUUGACUUGGGACCAGUGCCAACGUGGAGUUACAAAGAUGCAAUUUUACUAAAAUAAUUUUCAAUACUUGCGUGUACAUUAUUGUUUGUAAGAUAUUACAUCACAACACCGCAAGCUAAUUGUAUUGGCAUGGAAAACAACUUAUCCGAGAUUUCCCGAGUGUAAUAAAAUUUUGGAUAGUUUGAAAAUUAUUCAAGCAGAAUAGUUUAUUAUUGUAUGUGUUACUUCAGAUAUUACAGAUGCCAACAUGUGAUUUAUUUUAUGGUUGUGGUAGUUUGAGUAAAAGUUUUACAAUUGGACACAAAUUUUCGAUUCAAAUCGAACAUGACUGUUUUUAUUUUGAAUAAACUAAACUGUUCAACCCAGACUGUUAAAUUAUUUUUGUAAUUUUUUAUUCUAAUCGCUCAGAAUAAGUACUUAAAUUUCUGAUAAAGGUGGCCUAUGAUUUUAAAUUAAGUUGGCAACAUUGAGAAAUGUAGAGACACAAGUUUCUUAAAAUAAUAC